rnacentral:rRNA from 1 species
AGUGAACGCUGGCGGUAGGCCUAACACAUGCAAGUCGAACGGCAGCACAGGAGAGCUUGCUCUCUGGGUGGCGAGUGGCGGACGGGUGAGGAAUACAUCGGAAUCUACUCUGUCGUGAGGGAUAACGUAGGGAAACUUACGCUAAUACCGCAUACGACCUACGGGUGAAAGCAGGGGAUCUUCGGACCUUGCGCGAUUGAAUGAGCCGAUGUCGGAUUAGCUAGUUGGCGGGGUAGAGGCCCACCAAGGCGACGAUCCGUAGCUGGUCUGAGAGGAUGAUCAGCCACACUGGAACUGAGACACGGUCCAGACUCCUACGGGAGGCAGCAAUGGGGAAUAUUGGACAAUGGGCGCAAGCCUGAUCCAGCCAUACCGCGUGGGUGAAGAAGGCCUUCGGGUUGUAAAGCCCUUUUGUUGGGAAAGAAAUCCAGCUGGCUAAUACCCGGUUGGGAUGACGGUACCCAAAGAAUAAGCACCGGCUAACUUCGUGCCAGCCGCCGCCGUAA